rnacentral:rRNA from 1 species
UACGGAGGGUGCGAGCGUUGUCCGGAAUCAUUGGGCGUAAAGGGCGCGUAGGUGGCCCGGUCAGUCUUUGGUGAAAGCGCAGGGCUCAACCCUGCGUCGGCCAGGGAUACUGCCGCGGCUCGAGCACUGUAGAGGCAGGCGGAAUUCCGGGUGUAGCGGUGGAAUGCGUAGAGAUCCGGAAGAACACCGGUGGCGAAGGCGGCCUGCUGGGCAGUUUAGCUGACACUGAGGCGCGACAGCGUGGGGAGCAAACAGG